rnacentral:rRNA from 1 species
UACAGAGGGUGCGAGCGUUGUCCGGAAUUACUGGGCGUAAAGGGCUCGUAGGCGGCCAACUAAGUCGGACGUGAAAUCCCCAGGCUCAACCUGGGAACUGCGUCCGAUACUGGAUGGCUUGAAUCCGGGAGAGGGAUGCAGAAUUCCAGGUGUAGCGGUGAAAUGCGUAGAUAUCUGGAGGAACACCGGUGGCGAAGGCGGCAUCCUGGACCAAUACUGACGCUGAGGAGCGAAAGCCAGGGGAGCAAACGGG